GAAUGGUUUUUAAAUUGGUCAUCGUGUUCCGAUUCGAUCGGAAAGGUCGCAAGUUCGAAUCUUGCCGCCGUUUA
rnacentral:tRNA from 1 species